AAGCUCGUAGUUGAAUUUCGGGAUCAAUGUUUCGGUCAUGCCGUUGGUAUGUACUGAUAUUAUUGAUUUCUCACCUUCUAAAGAACCGUAAUGCCAUUAAUUUGGUGUCGCGGGGAAUUAGGACUGUUACCUUGAAAAAAUUAGAGUGUUUAAAGCAGGCUCACGCUUGAAUACAUUAGCAUGGAAUAAUGAAAUAGGACACCCGAUUCUAUUUUGUUGGUUUCUAGGAUCGAUGUAAUGAUUAAUAGGGAUAGUUGGG
rnacentral:rRNA from 1 species